AGAUUGAACGCUGGCGGCAGGCCUAACACAUGCAAGUCGAGCGCCCGUAGCAAUACGGGAGCGGCAGACGGGAUAGUAACACGUGGGAACGCGCCCUUCGGUUCGGAAUAACUCAGGGAAACUUGAGCUAAUACCGGAUACGCCCUUACGGGGAAAGAUUUAUUGCCGAAGGAACGGCCCGCGUCCGAUCAGCUAGUUGGUGAGGUAAUGGCUCACCAAGGCGACGAUCGGUAGCUGGUCUGAGAGGAUGACCAGCAUCACUGGGACUGAGACACGGCCCAGACUCCUACGGGAGGCAGCAGUGGGGAAUAUUGGACAAUGGGCGCAAGCCUGAUCCAGCCAUGCCGCGUGGAUGAUGAAGGCCUUAGGGUUGUAAAGUCCUUUUAACGGGGAAGAUAAUGACGGUACCCGUAGAAUAAGCCCCGGCUAACUUCGUGCCAGCAGCCGC
rnacentral:rRNA from 1 species